GCUUAAUACAUGUUGGUUUAGAAUAAACUGCGUUCAUUUCAGCACGGUUUGUCUGAGCUCUGUUUUAUUGCUAUACAUAGGGUUACAAUAUCAUCAUUCUCAUCAUUCUCAGCAAAGUGUAUAUUGAUGGUAGUUGCAGUACACAGGGGGUAGAGUAGGCUACAUGUACUAUCCCUUGGUAUUAGUAUUAGAGGGUAAGGUAAGGCUAGGGGUUAUGGGAGUUAGGAAUAGAAAGUAAGGUUAGGCUAGGGGUUAUGGGAGUUAUGAAUAGAGAAUAAGGUUAGGCUAAGGGUUAUGGGAGUUAUGAAUAGAGAAUAAGGUUAGGCUAAGGGUUAUGGGAGUUAGUAAUAGAGGGUAAGGUUAGGCUAAGGGCUAUGGGAGUUAGGAAUAGAGGGUAAGGUUAGGCUAAGGGUUAUGGGAGUUAGUAAUAGAGUGCAAGGUUAGGCUAAGGGCUAUGGGAGUUAGGAAUAGAGGGUAAGGUAAGGCUAGGGGUUGUGGGAGUUAGGAAUAGAGUGUAGGAUUAGG